CAGAAGUGUCGCCAUGUGGUGGUGGGGGGCGGUAAGUAAGUUAAGUAAAGCUGAGUUAAGCAAACAAAACUGUAAUUCUGAAAAGAAAAAAAAAACGAUUGCUGGAUGUUAAUCUACACAGAUUUAUGCUGAUUCUUACAGGCUAAUGCUAAUGCUGCUGCACCUAGCCUUAAUGCUGGAGAAACUUUACUGGCUUUACUGCUCCUUAAUACCUGACUGGUAGAAUUCAUACAUAAGGAGCACCGACCAUGUUUGGGGAAAUUACAGGAUUUUAAAUGCGCUUUAAAAAAUAAAAGAUAUGGCAUGCACUUUUUAAAGUGUAUUUUAACAUUUAAUGCUUAAAUGUUGUUUAUUUGCUAUAUAUGUUUUUAUAUAUUUUUUUUUUCUUCCAGGUAAAAGUCCAAUAAACUUUAAGUAUGAUUUUGUGGAGGUCAUCCAGAACCCUCAGCCGGGCUACGCUGUGUAUAAAAGCAGACCUCCUGCAGGAGGGAAUGUGACUCUGCUGGUGUCGUUGCUGGGCUCGGGGUCGGGUCUGAUCUCAGAACUGGUUCUGGUGGACUCGUCGGGCUCCGGGCUCUAUAAAGGCAGUCUGGAGGAUCAGGGCAGUGGAGAUUAUCUGGUGACGGUGGAAACAGCGCCGAAGGGAGAUUUCUACAUACGGAUCACCGGCCAGUUCAACUCCUCCACCAGCUCCAAAUUCCAGAGACAAUCCUCCACCCGAUACAGAGCCUGCACCAUCUCCAUCACUGCUGUGAGGAAUGGAUCGUGGUUUGCAGGGCAGAAUUUCAGCGUCCCGUUCACCGUGGUGACGAACAGCAGCCUGAGGGAAUACGCCGUCACCGUCAGGAACAGCGGCCGGUACAACAUGACCUUCCCCACCUCCCUGACAGCAGGGGGCGACAGCACCGCUAACGGCACGGUGAUGCUCAGCGCCCCGGCUAACGCCACCGCCGGCACAGAGGUCAUCCUCACCAUCGAGGUGACUCAACUGGGCACCAACGACACCAACUACGCCUUCCUGAGACUCGCUGUGUCCGGGGCAGUGGCGCCCCCUGCUGGCCUGGAGCUCAGUCUGUGGAUCAGUGCGCUGACUACAGUGCUCAUCAGCCUCCUCAAUCAGUAGAUCAGUAGAGUUUUAAUAGCUGGAAAGUGACUUUAUUAGUGUCUUUAUUUUAGUUAAAAUAGAUUAAAUAGAUGAGUAGAAAUGCUCUAAAAGGAUUUGGAGUUGGAUGUUGCAUUGCAUAAUUUUAAAACAACUCUACAAAACAAUGCAGUGCAAACUUUGGUAAAUCCAAAGUUCUUUUAGCAUCUUUUACCAGAUUAGCAUUCUUUGAGCUCAUAACCUUACUGAACCUAGACCUGCAUACCAACUGCAGCAACCUCAGAUUAUCAUAGCUCCGCCCCCACAGGCUUGUACAGUAGCACUAGGGGCAUGAUGGGUAAUCACUUCUUAGUACAGCCGCCUCACUUUUGACCCUUUAUAAUCUCUAGUAAACUGAAGCUGUUUUUAUUGAUUAAUCUCACUGAUAAGAUCUUUUCUAAAAGAUACACAGCUUUAGUUUAGUCCCUUAAAUCCCUUCAGUUCCUUCACUGCAUUGUGUGCGAGUGGUAAAGCUCUUACCUUCACUAUUCCACAACAUAUCCCUGAGGAGUUCUAGUGCUGAUAUUCUACCAUUUGUAUGAUUUCACCAAAUGUUUAAGUGAUCAUGUGCCGUUCAGUAUCAUUCAAGAUUUUUUUCCCGAUUACAUUCUUUCCCGGAAGAUGAUGUUUCUCCACUGUUUUUUCACUGUUUAAUAAUAAUAAAGCGUUGGACAGCUCUUAACCUGAUUUUAGC
rnacentral:lncRNA from 1 species